rnacentral:rRNA from 1 species
ACACAUGCAAGUCGAACGAUGAAGCCGAGCUUGCUUGGUGGAUUAGUGGCGAACGGGUGAGUAACACGUGAGCAACCUGCCCUGGACUCUGGGAUAAGCGCUGGAAACGGUGUCUAAUACUGGAUAUGAGCUCUCAUCGCAUGGUGGGGGUUGGAAAGAUUUUUCGGUCUGGGAUGGGCUCGCGGCCUAUCAGCUUGUUGGUGAGGUAAUGGCUUACCAAGGCGUCGACGGGUAGCCGGCCUGAGAGGGUGACCGGCCACACUGGGACUGAGACACGGCCCAGACUCCUACGGGAGGCAGCAGUGGGGAAUAUUGCACAAUGGGCGGAAGCCUGAUGCAGCAACGCCGCGUGAGGGAUGACGGCCUUCGGGUUGUAAACCUCUUUUAGCAAGGAAGAAGCGAAAGUGACGGUACUUGCAGAAAAAGCGCCGGCUAACUACGUGCCAGCAGCCGCGGUAAUACGUAGGGCGCAAGCGUUAUCCGGAAUUAUUGGGCGUAAAGAGCUCGUAGGCGGUUUGUCGCGUCUGCUGUGAAAACCCGAGGCUCAACCUCGGGCCUGCAGUGGGUACGGGCAGACUAGAGUGCGGUAGGGGAGAUUGGAAUUCCUGGUGUAGCGGUGGAAUGCGCAGAUAUCAGGAGGAACACCGAUGGCGAAGGCAGAUCUCUGGGCCGUAACUGACGCUGAGGAGCGAAAGGGUGGGGAGCAAACAGGCUUAGAUACCCUGGUAGUCCACCCCGUAAACGUUGGGAACUAGUUGUGGGGUCCUUUCCACGGAUUCCGUGACGCAGCUAACGCAUUAAGUUCCCCGCCUGGGGAGUACGGCCGCAAGGCUAAAACUCAAAGGAAUUGACGGGGACCCGCACAAGCGGCGGAGCAUGCGGAUUAAUUCGAUGCAACGCGAAGAACCUUACCAAGGCUUGACAUACACGAGAACAUCCCAGAAAUGGGGGACUCUUUGGACACUCGUGAACAGGUGGUGCAUGGUUGUCGUCAGCUCGUGUCGUGAGAUGUGGGUAAGUCCCGCACGAGCGCAACCCUCGUUCUAUGUGCAGCACGUAUGGUGGGACUCAUGGGAUACUGCCGGGUCACUCGGAGGAAGGUGGGGAUGACGUCAAAUCAUC